UACGAAGGGUGCAAGCGUUAAUCGGAAUUACUGGGCGUAAAGCGUGCGUAGGUGGUUCGUUAAGUCUGAUGUGAAAGCCCUGGGCUCAACCUGGGAAUGGCAUUGGAUACUGGCGAUCUAGAGUGCGGUAGAGGGCAGUGGAAUUCCCGGUGUAGCAGUGAAAUGCGUAGAGAUCGGGAGGAACAUCUGUGGCGAAGGCGACUGCCUGGACCAGCACUGACACUGAGGCACGAAAGCGUGGGGAGCAAACAGG
rnacentral:rRNA from 1 species